UUUUCUUGGAAGUCAGGCUGUGCUUCGGAGGAAUGCCAGCCCAUCUGAGCUCUCACAGCAACUGGCCCCUGGGCUCACAAUGUCUCUCAUUAUAGCCCUCAUCCGGCCGGGCCCAGGCUGCAUUCCAGCCCAGCAGAGACACACAGCACUUAUCUCUCAGUCUGGCCACCUCUCUCUCUUCCCAUACCUAUUCUGGCUGCAGAAGAAACAGGCACCUCGUUUCCCCACUUCCCAACCCUGAAGACAGACUUUCCAAGAGCUGACCCCUAGCUCUUUCAGGGGUGACAAAACCCUUCCCCGCAAUGGAUUUGCGAUGCCUUCUGGGUUUGCACGUUUAGAUUCCUGACUUCGGGGCCGCCUUCCAUGUUUGCACGGAGAGAAUCUUUGCAGUCACUGUUGAUGCUGGACACGUUGCGAGCGAGCAUAGGGUGACCAGGCGGCUGCAGUACUUUGAGGAGCUGAAGGAUGGGAAAGAAGAAACCCGGGGUCAGGAGUCCGAGUUCUCGGUGUGAAAGGCUGGACUGGAGCUGGGGCAGGCCUGUCCUGCCAACACCAGUGAACAGCAGACAGAAAAAGAAGAAAGAGGAAGAGGGACCCACUUUUAACUUUGUUCUCGGUUAAGGAUGCCGGACAACCCACCCAACUUUCUCAGGCCUCAGUUUCCUUCUCCGUUAAAGGAAUGGUGAGUGUCCUUGAGUUUUUGCUUUCCACAUUUGAAAUGAGUUCAUGUACUUAAGCAUCCCAGAUGGACCUUGGAAUGCAUAGGGCUGAGAGCGAGCAUUUGCUAAGAGCAUCAGGAAAGCAAGAUCUGGACCACUGAGAAGCCAGAUGCCUGCCACAGAAGCUAAGCAAGAGAACCAACCACGUACGAAUGACAGCCUGGCUCAGAUACCUCAGCAUCUUUAGCAAGACUGGUACCAGAGGUCCUCUCUCCACAUGUGUGCCCAGGCCUGAAGCUACAGAAGAAGGGUGCAUCGUCUCCUGGUCCCUCAGAGAACAGCCUGAUGCCCAGAAACCCAGGGCUGGCCCUUAGGGGAGGUGUGAAUUGGAUGAAGGAAUGGAGACCAGCGUGGGUUCAGCUAUAAAGACCUUUGGCAGCACAGAGCCCCUCUUGACUUCCCACACUCCUGCAUCUUAGACUCGAGCAUGUAUAAAUAAGGAGCUCACGGCCCUAUGAGUACCUGAGGCUGCUGGACAGCGGAUUAUUAGAAAGUCACAGCCUGCCCCGAAUAACCUACGGGUCUCCAAUGCAGAGGUUUAACACCCUCAGAGUCUCAUCAGACCUGACCCACCUCUAAUCUUCCAGUGCCCAGAACAAAGGCCCCUCUGUGAGACGUGAGACCCACAGGCCUCUUCUCUUUGCUGCUUAUCGCCCACAUCAGAGUUCACAGGAAGAGGGUUUCAAAACCUCAGAGUCAGAACUGCACUGUGGUAGCGGUUUUUUGUUGUUUUUUUUUUUAAGAGAAAGGAAACCAGAAGGGAGGGAAGAGGUGUAAGGUGCAGCAGAUUAAGGCCCUAGCUAUGGAGGGAAGGGCUUGCCCAAACGGUGCAAGCGCUAGAGGAACUUGCCCAGGUGCAGACAGGUCAAGGGAUGUGUGUGUGUACUGGGGAGCUGCUCUCCGUGUUUUGAAAGGCUCCGGCGUGGAGGGCCAUGGGUUACCCAAAGGUAUUUGAUAAGAGUAACUAGUACCCCGCCCUUAUCUGGUGUCCUCUCUGCCUAGAGAAACUGAGAGCACUUGAAGCCAAUGCGGUCCAGCCUCCUUGUCCCUGUACUGGUCAGGUACAGAGCCCUGGUCUCAUUUCUGAACCUUGCCACAGCGCUAUGCGACCUCUGAGCAGGGGUCUUGUAUGGACCCUACCCAUCUCGGCUCUUUGCAUUCUAGAGCUGAUGGGAAACUUUCCAUUUCCCUGUCUCCAACAAGGCCGUGAUGAAAUGUUUCGAGUGACUUGCAAGAUGAUUAUCUACCACAUCUGCUGUGGGGGUGGACUUGAGGGUGUUUGUUUUACCGUCUGUAUUUUCCGUUGAUUGCCUCUGUAUUUGUUUAAUCUUGCUAUGUUGAGUGAAUCCUUCUUUUUAAACGCCUUUUGGAAGUUGUGGGGUAUCUCAAAUGCUCAGAAAAUGACAGGAAAUAUGAUUACCUGCUGUCUAGCUCUUUCAAUUCCUCCUCCCCCUCUUCUUCUCCCUCUCCGUCCCCCACUUCUCAUUUGUUUCAUUUGAAAAUCUCAUGUGUUUCAGGCUCGCCUCAAUCUUAAUAAAUGAUGCUGUCUUGCUUUCUUAAUAAAACUAGGGUUGCUCUAAAAUACUGUUCUUCAACUUGACAUUUUCUUGCAGUUUGUCGGCAUUUUUUGACAUCUCUCCAUUUGAAUAUUAGUAAAUGUGCAACAGUCUCCUAAACAUCUGCCUGGGGUUCCAUUUUAUUUGC